CCGCGGCCGCCGCUUCGAGCAGGAGGUCGGCGUGAAGGAGGAGCGUGGCAAGCGGGAGUUUGGCAUCUUCUUUCCUCUGCCCCAUCGCACCACCGUGGUUGCGCCGCCCACGUCCAGACGACGGCCCUCUCCUGCCGCUAGAUGCCUCCGCUGAGACGACGCUGCCAGAGGCAGCGACCAGCAGCCUCACCGGUGCCCUCGCGCGCGAGCGGACAGGCGCCGGAAGAACUUGGUUCCAGCGCUGCUGCAGAUCUCACUCGCGUUGCUGCUCUACAUCGGCGUCGACCUCCCCGAGGCGUCGCCGCCGUUUCUGUUCAGACUGUAUGUGAAGUGCAGAGUACAUUGCUGAACUGAACCCCUAAAUUUCUGAAGAUUCUGAAGUUUUUGGUAAUUGCAUGUUCGUUCGGUGUGCGAGGAGGUGGUUUGACGAGCGGGAGACAAGUCACCUGGCCAACUGGGCAAGCACGGCAACACGGAGGAGCUCCCGACGAUUCAUUUCAGUUGUCCAAGUAUUACGGGGUAGAGCUGGAAAUACGGGAGCGGUGUGGGUUUUUCUUGCGGGAAAGGGGGACUUGGGCGUGGAAAUUGAUGCGGCCAUUGGAUGAAGAACAUCAUGCGGUAGGGAGAAUGGAGAGGGAGCAGCCAUGGCGCGUCCUCUUGGCAUCGCUCAUCCCUCCGUCAAGACGCGUCAAUCUGGCGACCUCGACCCCCCAUGGCUGUGUACUACAGCCAACUCUGGCUGACCAACUUCCGAUGCGCCCCAGGUGUUCGUGGUAAUGCUCUAAUCACGCCUCGUCAAUUGAUCAACAAAAUUCCGUCUGUAGCUCCGCCACUGCAGCGUGGCUUCGGUGGAGCAAUGUGCCAAUAAAAAUAGGAACCUGUGGCCUGCGCCAUAGGCUGUGGUGCCGAACCUUGUUUGCUGCCUUUAGCGUCUCCUUCCUGUCAUAGAUUUGCUCUGGAACCGCAGUGCGUUCGUCGAUUUCGUGGCGCCAAGCUUCAUCACGCUGAUGAGGUAACAAUCAUGAUUGAUGACAAACCUCAGCAGACAUGAUUCCAUGGUGGCAGUGAAUGCUGUCCCCUGUCUGGCCGAAACCGCUGCUGGCUUCGAUAAACACACCAUCAUCAGUUAUUCCAACAGUCUCAAUAAGAGACUGCUUUGGGGGAUCCUUGGUGGGUAUAAAUACGGAGCUCAAUGGGUUGUCUGACAUCCCUUUACCCACGUGUUCGUUGUGAAGAACUAUAGAAAUGUUAUGCUUCUUAAGUUCACUCCUUGGUCCAAUGCCGCUGAUCAACAACAGCUGGGGGCUUCCAAUUGCGCCGGCAGAGACAAUAAUCUCACUGCCUCUCUUUUGGCUAAGAAAGGCUUGAUGCUGCCCACCAUUCUCAUCCUUGAAUUGAACCCCAAUAGCACUCUGUUUCUGAUGUCCUGUGCAAGAGAUGAGGUUACUAUAACAAAAUGAUUGUGCAGCAAGUACCUACUGUUUUUGUUUGAAGUAUGUGUUUUCCUAGCUUCCUUCUUGUGGAAGUGAGUGAAUUGCAAAAAACAUCGACAUUGAAGACUAGGGUUGCAGGAACCACAGUUCUACAGUUUUGUGCCAAAA